rnacentral:lncRNA from 1 species
CCUGAGCACUUGCUCUCUGAGGGCCAGCAGAACCCGAAGGACAGAUAGGGAAGGGCAAAGGAGUGGGACCGGUUUCUUCCCCCCAGACUCUCCAAUCAGAUAAGUCAUAGUGGCGGGGGUGGGGGGUGGUUAUGGGGGGUAGGCCUGGGCGUCAGCAUUUUUAAAGCCCCUCAGGUGAUUCAGUGCAGCCCGGGCAAGAACCCAGCUAUGCUCUGAGAAGUGAGUGGGCAGCAUCUAAUUGCUCUUCAUAAAAAUCCUGCUGUUUUCAGCCCCAGCCCACCCUGGUCUUCCCACAGACAAUGGCCACUCCCAUGCCUGAGCCAUCCCAGAUCCCCAGUUGGAGGAACCAUCCUUUACAGCUGACUGACUCACCAGUCCCUAAUGCUGGUCAGAUGUCCUGAACAAGGAAAGCCGUGAUUUCUGCGACCAGAGAGAAUCGGUCAGUCACGGUGUCCCUCAGCCAAAAUGAACUCAGCCUAUUGUCUCCGGAGAGCUGGUAAAUCGGCAGCUGAAGAAACAUACAGUUCUGUGUUUCAAAAUGCAAAAGACCACAUUUCCCUGACCUCGGGUGCUCGCUGACACAUUCCCAACCAAUGACUAUAAAUCUGCUCCUGGAUUGUGAGACAGGGUUUCACAUGUUGCCCAGGCUGGUCUCGAACUCCUGGGCUCAAGCAGUGCUCUCGCCUCAGCCUCCCAAAGUGCUGGGAUUACAGGCGUGAGCCACCUGGCCUUCAGUGAAAAUCUUAAAGGAUUAAUGUAAAAAUCACAUGGUGGGAUCAUGAUCCUCCCAUCAAGCUCUGUAUCAAACAUUCAUCCUAAAGCUCAUCAGUUCAGAGCUGGAGAGUAAACAACUUCAGAGAAAGAGGCUUUCCAAAACAGUGGGAAUUUCGGCAGAGAUGGAGCUUGGGGAAACUGAGGCACUCAGUCUGACUUCUCUUCCCUGAUGAGGAUGUGGGCUUGCUGAAGCUGAGUUUGGUUCAAGAAAGAGGAGAGUUCAAUGUUGAUAAAAAUUAUCUUGAACAAAAGUCACAGAUUGCUAGAGCAAGUUCUUCUUGAACUGUGACAAUAAGACCAGGCUAAACAAGCUAAAGGACAUAGCAAAACGCAUGGACAAUGUUAAUCGGCCGCAUUAGGGAAUCCAUGGAGAGGCCACCGUGGGUCUCUAGAAGCUACACUGAAAUGUGUUUCAUCUGCUUCCACCCUGGUGAGAGGGGUCCCACUUCCAUAAGUUUCCAUGUCCUUUGUUAAACAGAGAACCUAGAGUUGUCGUACAGGGUGGGGAGAGAUGUGGUUCCUUCCCACUGGACAUUCAUCCAACUGAAACACUACAGUUGGUAUCUAAAGUGAGACAGGCACUACCAGGCGUGGAAGAUUCAUCAAGCCGAAAGAAGAAACACUGAGCUAGCUAUUUCCAAGGUGGAUACAGAGCCAAUUGUAACAAUGGAAUUUAUGCAGUUUCCCUACCUGGGACAAUUCACACACAGUGGUUAAGGAAGCUCAGUAAAGUCCAGGUAGCCCACUGACUGUUCCCUGGCUUCUCCCAGCCACCUAUGACCUGGACAAGACUUGGAACCCAAAGGGAGUUAAAAAACUAAGAACCUCAGGCUGGGCGCAGUGGUCCCAGCACUUUGGGAAGCCAAGGAGGGCUGAUCACUUGAGCUGAAGAGCUGGAGAGCAGCCUGGCCAACAUGGUGAAACCCCGUCUCUAAAAAAAACUACAAAAAUGAACUGGGCAUGUUGGCGCAAUCCUGUAAUCUCAGCUACUCAGGUAGCUUAGGCGGGAGGACCACCUGACCCCAGGAGGCAGAGGUUGUAGUGAGCUAAGACCAUGCCACUGCACUUCAGCCUGGGCAAUAGAGCGAGACCCUGUCUCAAAACAAACAAAACAAAAAGCUAACAAAACAAAACAGCAAAAACAAAACCUUGAACCUUAUCAAGCCUCGAGAGCCAACCACCAUUAUACCAGGAGCAUAGAACUGGCCAGAUUCGGAUAUGGGGAAUUUCUGCAGGGCAAACGGCCCAGGUACAUCAAGAAACAAUGUCAUGGGAAAAGAUGGAGCAGGAAGUGUGGCAGAUUAAAAGAGACGGAACAGUCAGCGGCAACCUUGGUGUUUUGUUUGUUUCCGAAUCUGUACAAACCAACAGUAAAAAUCCAUGAUUGAGAAAGCAGGGAAAUGGGAAAGCAGACAGGGCCUGAAAGGGUGGUGGUGGCUUGGACCACGUCAUUGUGGUGAAGCUGGAGCUAGAUUCCUCCACAUCCCUUUCUCUGUGGAGUUCUGGGUGAAGAGGUGGCCCAAAGAGGCACUGUCGUGGGAUUCGGGAGGCUGCGUGAAGCAUCAGCCGUGACUCUCCAAAGUUCUUAGACUUGAUGCAUGACAGACACACACACAGGUAUCAACGAAGUCCAGCUUGUCCCCACUCUCCUGUCCCCAUCCACUUCUCCCCGACCACCAACUCUGCUGACCAGCAACGGCCCUGAGCCAGCCUCCAGAUGCUUGCCUGGGGUCCACUCUGGCUGGAGCAGUUCUUAUUAAAGGGUUUUUGUUCAUUGCAUUAGCUUCAUCGCAGUAUUGCAUUACACUGGGGGCAAGACAUUCUCUGUGGUAGGUACACACUGAAGCAUUUAUGGGUGAAAUUAUGUUAUUUCUAGGGUUUGCUUAAAAUACUUCAAAACGAAAGAGGCUGGAGCGUGGAGACUAAACAAAACAACAUUGAAAAAUGGUAACGAUUGUUAGAGUUGGAAGAUGGGCUCAUUGUUCUAUUUGCUCUGUUUCUGGUAUGUUCGAAAAUGUUCAUGAUUUCAAAUUACGGAGUCGGGGGAGCUAAGGAAAUGGAACAGAACCUGAAGAUCCCCCACCCCCUCCUCCACUCCAGACUAGCACUAGGCAAAGUUGCAGGCAAAAUUGCAUAACUGGAAAAUUCUUCAAUUCUUCUUGAGGAUGUGGGUUAAGGGAGGGAGGAAAAACUUAGAGCGGCAAGAGGCUGAUGAAUAGACACACACCACAGAAGAAAAAAGAAAACCAAUUAAAUCUUACUAUUACUUUUAACUGUGAGUAAUACGCUUGGACAUGUGUGAGCUGGUCUUGUUGUUCUUACAAACAAGGCUAAAAAAAACCUAUGACCUUGGAAUUCUCAGAUUCGUGCAGGCUGUUGAGUUAUUUUAAGUGGUGUUCAGAGGACAGGGUUUCUGACCUAAGAAUGUACUUUUCCAAAGGUACCUUCUAACUUGGAAUUUUAAAUAUUAAUUGAGAUAUAAA